GCUGGGCAUGGUGGUGCAUGCCUGUAAUCCCAGCAACUUGAGAGGCUGAGGCAGGAGGAUUGAAAGUCCAAAGCCAGCCUCAGCAGAUUAGCAAGGCACUUAACAACUCAGGGAGACCCUGCCUCUA
rnacentral:sRNA from 1 species